rnacentral:tRNA from 1 species
CCUUUGGUAGCUCAGCUGGUAGAGAAGAGGACUGUAAUGGAUACUAAGCAAGUAAUCCUUAGAUGACUGGUUCGAUUCUGGUUUGAAGGA